GAACACUUACUUGCUCUUUUCCUUUCAUCUUAAAAAAAAAAAACACUCAUAAAAGAGCUUGGGAAACUUGACUUUAUUGCAAAUUAUAAGAAAUUCUUAAAGAAUGUCACGUCAAGUACUUCAAAAAUAAUAAAUAAAAUAUUAUAAUAUCAUAUACAAUAGUUAAAAGAUUUUAAUAAAUCGUGAAUACUAUACAUCUUAUUAGGUUAAUUUUUUUUUUAAAAUAAUGUUAUUGUGACAUUUAUAUAGAGUUAAUACCGAGCAAUAAAGG
rnacentral:lncRNA from 1 species